AACGAACGCUGGCGGCAUGCCUAACACAUGCAAGUCGAACGAGACCUUCGGGUCUAGUGGCGCACGGGUGCGUAACGCGUGGGAACCUGCCCUUAGGUUCGGAAUAACUCCCCGAAAGGGGUGCUAAUACCGGAUAAUGUCUUCGGACCAAAGAUUUAUCGCCUUUGGAUGGGCCCGCGUUGGUUUAGCUAGUUGGUAGGGUAAAAGCCUACCAAGGCGACGAUCCAUAGCUGGUCUGAGAGGAUGAUCAGCCACACUGGGACUGAGACACGGCCCAGACUCCUACGGGAGGGAGCAGUGGGGAAUAUUGGACAAUGGGCGAAAGCCUGAUCCAGCAAUGCCGCGUGAGUGAUGAAGGCCUUAGGGUUGUAAAGCUCUUUUACCCGGGAUGAUAAUGACGGUACCGGGAGAAUAAGCACCGGCUAACUCCGUG
rnacentral:rRNA from 1 species